GACGAAACGACGUGGACGGCGUGCCUAACUACGAGUGCAAGUCGUACGAAUUGAUUGAAGAGCUUGCGUCUUCGAUAGGACCGUUAGUGGCGAACGGGUGAGUAACACGUGGGUAACCUGCCCUUCAGUGGGGGAUAACAUCCGGAAACGGGUGCUAAUACCGCAUAGUUUCUUUUUCCGCCUGGAAGAAGAAGGAAAGACGGCCUUUGUGCUGUCGCCGAGGGAUGGACCCGCGGCGUAUUAGUUAGUUGGUGGGGUAAUGGCCUACCAAGACGAUGAUACGUAGCCGACCUGAGAGGGUGAUCGGCCACAUUGGGACUGAGACACGGCCCAA
rnacentral:rRNA from 1 species